CCUACGGGAGGCAGCAGUGAGGAAUAUUGGUCAAUGGACGAGAGUCUGAACCAGCCAAGUAGCGUGAAGGAUGACUGCCCUAUGGGUUGUAAACUUCUUUUAUAAAGGAAUAAAACGAGGCACGUGUGCCUUUUUGCAUGUACUUUACGAAUAAGGAUCGGCUAACUCCGUGCCAGCAGCCGCGGUAAUACGGAGGAUCCGAGCGUUAUCCGGAUUUAUUGGGUUUAAAGGGAGCGUAGAUGGGUUGUUAAGUCAGUUGUGAAAGUGUGCGGCUCAACCGUAAAAUUGCAAUUGAUACUGGCAGUCUUGAGUACAGUUGAGGUAGGCGGAAUUCGUGGUGUAGCAGUGAAAUGCUUAGAUAUCACGAAGAACCCCGAUUGCGAAGGCAGCUUACUAAACUGUGACUGACAUUGAUGCUCGAAGGUGUGGGUAUCAAACGGGAUUAGAUACCCGAGUAGUC
rnacentral:rRNA from 1 species